UACGGGGGGGGCAAGCGUUGUUCGGAAUUACUGGGCGUAAAGGGCUCGUAGGUGGCCAACUAAGUCAGACGUGAAAUCCUGGAGCUCAACUCCAGAACUGCCUUUGAUACUGGAGAGCUUGAGUCCGGAAGAGGUGAGUGGAACUCCGAGUGUAGAGGUGAAAUUCGUAGAUAUUCGGAAGAACACCAGUGGCGAAGGCGGCUCACUGGUCCGGUACUGACGCUGAGGUGCGAAAGCGUGGGGAGCAAACAGG
rnacentral:rRNA from 1 species